rnacentral:lncRNA from 1 species
AUUUAUUUGUAUAGGUUAACUUUCCUAGAACACUUUCUUGGAUUCCUUUCAACUUUUUUUUAUAUUUGAGCCUGGUUGGGAAGGGUGUAAUCACAUUAUCUCCACUGUGUUGUUUCACAUAACCCUCCUUUUGAUGUGAUGUUUUGUUUGAAAUAGUAUCAUAAUUUGGACCACUCCUAUCUGUUCCUCACCAAUAGUUUGUUAUUUGUUUAUUCAAUUUCAAACUUUUGAGUAAAAUUAUUGAAUUUAGAUUUAUUGAAUUGAAUUCGUCGAUUUCCAGUCAUUUCACUUAUCUAAGAUCAUUCUGAUUCAUAAUUCUGUUUUCUGUGCUAUAAAUUCUUCAAGUUUUAUAUUACCCACCUAUUUUCAGAAUGUCUUCCCUAUGCAUGAUAUUUUUAAAAUGAAAAUUUGGAACAGUACUGGUCAAGAAAAAACAACCUGGGCUGGACUCAGUUGACAUGUUCUCAUAACUCACAACCCAUUAUUCAUGACUCCUCUUUCAAUGUUUUGAAAAUAUCUGUUCUCUCACUUAAUAAUAGAUAAAUCAUAUUUCCUUAGUUUAGAGACGAGAGCAUCCUGUGUGACUAUGUAAAAAAUUUUGUUUAAUAUAUCAGUCCUCUCUUCCCAUUCUCUGAGGUAAUUACUUUUAUGAGAAGGUAACUAGUUUGCUUUGACAUGAGUUGUGGUGGAAACUUGCAAAACAGCUGCUUCCUAUCACUGAGUUAUUCUACAGAUGCUCUUAGAUUGUUUAGUAAUGAAUUAAACAAAAUACUUCUACUGAUACCAGAGUUCAGCUGUUUUAUGUUUUCUCAACUACGGCAUUAGUAUUUUUUUCAGUUCAUUUCUGCCUCACUUGGCCUUCAUGAGCUUUUGAUGAUAAUCACUAAAAUGUGUAAGUGAACCGGCUAGUGUUAUGAGGAUCUUAUCAGAUCUUGAUGGUAUGAACAAUGAACAUCAAUGAACAUUAUUUAAUUCUUUUUUAUUUUUUUAAUUUUUCUACUUUUCUGGCCUAUGUUCCCACCUUUGCUUGUAUUGCUUGUAAGUAGUAGUAAGGAUAUGGUCACAAUAAACCUCUUUUUGUGAUGGUCAAAGCAACAAAUUGUAUACAAAACUUCAAUUACAAUCUGUAAUCAACACGGCUGUAAUGAGACAUCUUGUUACUUUGUUUCUCCAAAAAAGAUGUCAGAUAAAUCUUUUUUUAUCCAUUUUCAAAGCAAAAAAGCAAGGAAUGUUUUAGUUUGUUUUUGUUUUGUUUUGUUUUCCCCAUGGAAACAGCAGGACUUAUUUUGAUUAAUCAAGUAAAAAUUGUGAAACCUUCUCAAAUCAAGAGCAACAACUCAAUCUCCCAUCACCUCUCAAAAAUGGGAAAGGAAUAAGCUCCACUGGCCUUGAAUGCAUGGCUCCUGCUUGUUCUGAAAGAUGAAUGAGGGAUUCUGAAUAAAAGAAUUAGUGAAGUAUAAUGUCCUCAAAGUAAUGUGAAUUUUUAAUUGAUUUAUUUAAUGUGUCUUCAUAUAAUUACGGAAAUAUAGGAAGAAAUUGUGAUUUACAUUAUUAGACCUAUGACUGCCUUCAUUUAAUUAAUAUUUUAACAUAUGGAAUGUCAUCCAGACUUAGGCCUAAGAGCAGCAGAACAUACAGCCAAACACUGCCUGAAUAUGAAACAUGUUCAUCUGAUCUUUGUUAAGCUGUAGUGAUAUUUCUUUUGGAAGAGAAUUGUGUUUUGUAUGCCUCUCACUUAUAAUACUCUUUCAUGAAAGGUUAAAGGUAAACAUAAUGGAAAUUACAACACAUAAAAAAAUGUGACAUUGAAUUCUGAAGAAACUUUGCAAGCAUUCAGGUCUUGACCUGAAUAAAGAAUUCUAAAGCCAAAUCUUUUAUUUCUUAUGCCUCCAAAACUUCCACUGGCAGCAAAUUCUGGAUUCAUGAAUCACACAUUAUCAGAUACUUCAUUUCAUCCCAACAGAUGAAACAUUUUAUUUUAGAUUUUUGUUUUUUGCAUAAUGGAAUAAUCUAGAAGUCAUUCAGUAUCCAAGAAUAUUUCUAAAUUCAUUUAAAUGGUAAAUGAAGAUUAAAGAGAAAAAUGAAUAAAAGUGCCUGAUUUUGAUUGAAUGUUGCCAUGAGAACUUCAGUCCCUUUAAAAUAUAUAUACAUUAUCAAAAAUGAUAUUACCAUUUUACAAGAACUACUUUAAAAUAAAGUUUUAAAAUUAAGCAGAGUAACUAAAGACAUACUUAAUGUGUGACACGUUCAAGGAAACUGGCAAGAUUAGAAAAGACCAUGUCAAUGAUCUUGCUGAAGUUGUUGAACACUUGUCCAUUUCUUCUUCAUUAGCUCCAUACCGAGCAGCAACUUCCUUGUGACAUUUUUAGACAUAUUCUCCAACUUAAGUUGUGAUUUGCUAAUUUAGUGACCAAGGAUUUAAAUCAUAGAAAAAAAAAUAAGAUAUAAUUAAGUGCUAUUUAUUUGAGUAACAGAGGUGCAACUUCAGUACAUCAUGCUACAAAACCCAACGUUUUACCCUGCACCGACUUACAAGUAAAUCCUAUUCAAUAUUUUUCUCAUUUAUGUGAUAAUUAUCGUUUAAAUUUUUAGAAAAGAUAAAUAUUUGAAUACAUUACUACCAUCAUGUUGUAAUCAACAACAACAAAAAAAGAAAGUUUUUUUUUCCCUCAUCGUUGCUUUAAAACAUGAGCAUAAAUCUUACAAUCAAUCAGAAGUUGAGGACUUCAGGAAUACCUCAAGAAUCCAUAUGUUCUAAACUUACUCAAAAUUCUGAGUGGAAACGUGGGCAUAUUCAGCUACUUGUAGCAAUUAUUUCAACAGCAAAAUAUAUAAAUCUUAUUAAAAUUAAGUAAUUACCCAAAUAACCGUCCUUGAUUGGAAGAAAAGUAUUUAAGUAUUUGUAUGUAAAUGUAUCCUGAAUUAUAUAUAACAGAAACACUGUGUUUUCAUAAGGAAAUCAUGUUUACAAAGAAAAAGAAUAUGUAUAACAAUAUAUGAAUUCUGUUUUUCUGAUUUAAUUUUAUAUUCUCAGUGUCUGAAAGUCACUGUUUCCUCAAAAAAUAAACAAAAACCAACAAAUACAAUUUUUGGAAAAUAUUUUUUAUUAUAAAAUGUACAGUAUAUUGACCUUAACAUUAUAAAACACUGUAAUGUAUCAGAGUCUUGUAAAGACCAAUAAUUUAUAAAAUGAGACCAAAUUCAUUGUUACUCUUUCUAGUCUCAUAGUCUGAUUUAAAAAUAUAUAUAAAAUAUAUAAUGGAUGAUUUGACUGGAGCAUCCAUAGUAGCUGGAAAAGGUGUGUUCGUAUGUUAUGGUAAUUAAUGUCUGCAUGUAAUUUUAUUAAAAUAGAUCACUCUUAUUUGCUAAAUUAGUCUUUGAUUUUGAAGAGCUGAUAGGAAAACGAAAAGUUAGUAAUCAUAUUCUAUAAGGCUAGAUUAUGUAAAAGCGCUGCAGGGGAUAAAGAAAAGUAUGUUUUUCCAAAAUACUAAAGCACUUCUAUCACUGCAGCUCAUUUAUUAACAGUUAAUACUUCUUUGGUGCUUUUAAGGUGCUUGUUAAAACAUGGGAUAGCUUUGGACUAUUGACAAAAACAGAGUACUUCAGGUCUCAAAUGCUACUGGAUAGUAUGAAAAAACACAUCACAUUGUCUUAACAAUUUAAAGACCUUUUCCACUGUGUUAAUUUAGAUACAUCUACUGCCUCCUUCCAUUGCAGGGAAGUACUAUUAUGUAGAGUACAAAAGCAAUGCAUUUUGCAUGAAAACAGAAAUAAUUAAUUUUUUUUCUGCCAUCAGCCUUCCUGGCUUUGUUGGAAACAGUACUUUCCUUGCACUCGCUUGGCAGUGACUGGAACUCUAGCACUCAGCCAAAGGCAUUUGUUUUAGUGUUAGAAUAUGUGUAUGUAAGUUGUUUUCGAAUCACUGCCUAGUAUAUUUUUAGCAGUGCAUUUAUAGAAGCCUGCAUCCCUUUGAGAAGACUGCUGGAUGACUAAUGACCCCUGAGGGUGGAGGAAUUUGUUUCCAUACAGACGGGAUUGAGCUCCUGUUGUCAGAUGAGAUUUGUCUGGAAGCUCCCAUGUUAUUUCUGCUUUAGGAAUCCCAAUGGCCAUACAGUUCAGUUUUACUGAAUUUCCAGGCCUGGCAUAGAUGACAGGUGCUGGCUCACUAGUAAUCCGGGGUGGAUAGGCUAUCACAAUGACAGGCACGUUCAUAAUAGAAGUGCCGUAGUCACUGGACACCUUGCACAGGUAUGUGCCCCUGUCAAAAACAGAAGCUUCACGCACUGUCAGUGAGCCAUUCUCCAGGAGGGAGAAGCGACCCACAGCCUGGGGAGCAUCCAGGACCAUCCCAUUGGGCAGUGUCCAGGAGAUCUGCGCCCGCUGAUUUGGCUGGGUGAUGCAAUGGAGCUGCAGAGUUUCUCCAUUGAUGAUGCUCACCAGGUUGUUAUACUGGUUGCUGAUUUCUGGCCUGAGUCCUACCUUCAGGAAGACUACCCGUUCCACAUAACCACCUGGGUUUCUGGCUGUACAGCGGUAGGUCCCAGCAUCCCCUGUGGAAAGACCACUGAUGUGUAAGAUUCCAUCCCGCUUAUGGUAAAAUCUGUGCAGACGGUUGCCACUCAGCACUUCUGUGCCAUUGGGAAGGAUCCAACUUGUGGUGGGCUCAGGGUACCCCUGAACUGAGCAGUUCAGAUUGAUGCUGUGCCCAGCAAUGGCAGUUAUCCUUUCGUUGACAGGGUCCCUGAAGGAAGGUUUCUCCAAAUGGUCUGUGAUGACGAGCUGCACAAUCAAUCUUGCUUCACCUCCUUCAUUCCGUCCAAUGCAUACAAGCUGCACUGCAUCUGUCUGCCUCACCCCUCUGAUGUCCAAAGUACCAUUGCGAUGCACAGUGAUCCUGUUUCCAUAGUAGGGGGCUGGCAAGAUUACUCCUUCUGGAAAAGCCCACAGGACCCGUGGAGAUGGAAUGCCUUCAGCUUUGCAGUCAAUAAGUUUCCUGCUGUCCCUGCUGGCUGUCUCCCUUACAGAAGUUAUUGCAUUGAGAUGCCCAUUGAUUCUGGGAGGUUGAACAUUAACAUGGAUCCAUACUACUUUCCGAUCUUCUCCAGCACUGUUCCGCACUACACAAGUAUAGUUACCACUGUCAGAUCUUUGUGCCUUUUGGAUGAGGAGGGUGCCAUCCCUAUAUACCUGGUAUUUUUCAGAUAGAGUAGGAAUGGGCCUGUUGGUUGGGGAAAGCCAAGUUACUUUGGGAGUAGGUUCUCCUUUGGCUUCACAUGCUACUGUGACAACAUCACCAUAGGGUACAUUAAUAAUGACAUAGGUUUUGUUUCGGAUAGUUGCAGGUUCAGCCACUACUUUGACCCUUACUUUCAUCUCAUCCUUCCCAAUCUGGUUCUCAGCAUAGCAGGUGUAGUCCCCUUCUUCUCUCAAUCCAACGUCAUUGAAAUACAGGGUUCCAUUAUUGAAGACCACGUAUCUCUUCGUCCGGCUGCCACUGUCAUCUGACUGCAUGAAGGUAUUGAUCAUGCUGCCAUCUGGCAGACCCCAGGAGAUCUCAGGAUUUGGUAGACCAGUAGCUACACAGUCAACUUUCAGGUCACCUCCAUACUUGACCUUGUGGUUAUUCUCAUUCUUGUGUUCUAUUUUUGCUGGUUUCAUCAUCACAUUUACUUUCAGGACCACAUAGUCAUCCCCAAUCUUAUUGCGAGCCACACACAAAUAAUCUCCUGCAUCUUUAUCUGUAACUGAAUGGACAACCAAAGUCCCAUUGCUGAAUACUUUGAUCCUAGUCUCCAAGUUACUGUGCAGUGAAUCAAUCAUCCUUUUGGAAGGUAACCUCCAUAGUAUCCGAGGCCAUGGGUCACCAGAAGCACUACAGUCCAAAUGCAGGAUGCUGCCAUACGUUACAUCUGUCCUCUGAGGAGAGCUCCCAGUGAUCUUAGCAUUAGAUGCUUGUUUCUUCACAUGAAGUUGUAUUAUUCUCCUGGCAGCUCCCACCAUGUUGGCAGCAAUGCACUCAUAGAUCCCACUGUCCUUGGGGGAGACAUUGCGAAUAUAAAGAGUUCCAUUGGGAAAAACAAAUAAAUUCCCAUUGACAAACUGGGAAGGUCGAAUCUGUGUGCCAUCAAAGAGCACCCAACGGAUGCUGGGCGAAGGUGCUGCUUUGGCAGUGCAGUGGAUAUUAAUGCUGCUACCAAGGGGCAAGGAAAUAUUCUCUUGUUUAUCCUGCUGAAUGAUGGGAGGUAAGGCUGCAAUGUGGAGCCUCACUGCGAUGCUGUCAGCUCCUGCAGCAUUGCUAGCUACACAUUUGUACACUCCCCGGUCUGAAAAUGUUGCUUGCUUGAUAGAUAAGGUUCGAUUUUCAUGAAGCAUUAUCCUGCUUUCUGUAGUAGUGACUGUCUGCAAAAUCUUCGUAUCUGGGAAAAUCCAUGAGAUGUGUGGACUCGGAGUCCCACUAGCCUGACAUUCCAGUGCUAUGGUAUCUCCAAAAUAGACAGUGACAUCUUGGUAGCGGGAAAGUAAAAUUUUGGGCUGAUGGGCUACAACUGUGAGCGCAAAAAUCAUUUUAUCUAUGCCAUGCAGGUUCUGAGCUGUGCACAAAUACUGUCCACGAUCCUGAAGCUGAGCAUUUCGGAUAAGGAAGGUACCAUUUUUCAAGACUUCAAACCUUUGUAACCUUGUGUGGGCUGUCAUUAGUGCUCCUGUAGAGACUUUCGUCCAAGUAAUAAAAGGCUUUGGUUCCCCUACUGCAUCACAAGGGAUAAGAGCAUCUGUUUCAGCAAGGAUAGAUAUGCUCUGAGAUCCUUUUGUGAUAAUUUUAGGCCUUUCUCCAGGUGUCCUGAAAUUGCUUGAAGAUUGAAUUAUAGAUAAAUUGUGUGAUGUAAUCCCUCCCACAUAAGGCACAGAUGGAACUUUUUGAUGAUACUGGGCAUUUUUAAGAGGCUGAAAAGGCUGAACUGUAGUGGAUAUCUGGGGUCUUCUGCUCUGAGAGAAAAAGGCUGGAGGGGUUACCUUCAAAAUCACUGCUGGCGGUGAUAUGGUGGUUGUGGUAUGUGAAGGCACUGGAACAGCUGUAGCUUUCUGCACUGUAAUCCGAGGAGGGGAGACUUGGGCAACCUUCUUCUCGUUCAUGUCUUUUGGGACUGGUUGACCAGGGACCACAGGUUUAGGAUGUAUACCUAAGUGAGGUAAAAUCCUUGUUCUGUUGAACAGGAAUGGCACUCUGGAACUGGGAUAAUAGGGUAUCUCUUGACUUGGUAGUCUCCCUGCUGUGCCUCUGUUAUCUGGAACAUAGUUACUACCAAAAAAUCUUGAAUUAAUAUUGUAUCUAUUCUGACCCUGAUGACUAAACUUGCUUGUAGGGAACGUAUUUGUUCUGUGAAAUGGAGUAGCUUGUGUUGGGGUAGUUGUCUCUCUCUGAGAGGCAAAAGAUUUUUUGUCCUGGAUGGUAUGUGCUGCAUAUGCUGUUAUCUCUGGUUUGUUUGUAUAGUGAAGAGGCUGAUGUGUUAUAAAAUAACGAAAUGAACCUUGUGUUACAACAUACGGAGGCUUCACUGUGCCUCUUACUGGAACAUGCUUUGGAGGCACAAUUGGCAGUCUUUGAUUUAGACUUGGUAUCAUUCCAGGGGGUGGACGGGGAAGGUUUGGAUUUAGCAAUAAACUGUUGUUUGAUCUGCUACUGUACAUCUCUUUGAACUGUUCCUCUUUAGACUGUAUGCUAAUACUGUUUUGGCUAGAGAAGGGAGUAGGGGGUACAUUCUGUCUUGAGCUCACCACCAUUCUUUCACUUUCUGCUUCAACUUGUUUUACAGAUGGCAACCUUUCUUGAUUGAAGGCAUUAUCGCCUUUGGUAGUAUAAUGAAUAGAAUGAUGUAAAGUGCUUGAAAGAGUAGGUGGUUUUGUAAACGGAAUAAAGACGUGUGUAGUCUGAGGCUUUUCAGAUGUCUGCAAAAUGGGAUCGUGAUGAAAUACAUUUGAUAUUGUUUCCUUCUUAUCCAAGGAAGAUGUUUUUGCCCCAGUAUGAGACACAAUAGAUAUUUCUGUUUCUGGAGGUGGAAAACUUUGAGUUUCCAUUGUGCUGAAGGAGGAAGACGAAGACAUGAUUUCUUGUUGCUGGGGUGGCUCUGUUACUGCUGGUGUUUUUAAAAAUACUGUGGGUUUCCAUAACCCCUCUGAAUCUGAGACAUCUUCAAGAACUUCCAGUGUGUCAGAAGGAAUACUUAAAUCUGUCACAGUAGGAUACAUUGGCUGGAAUGUUCCAACAGUGGUUUCAUUAGCCACAACAUCUGACUCAAAAGUGAUGGUUUCUUUUUGAGAUUCUGGGUAACUGGAUUUUGUAGAUGAUGUCAAGCUGCUCCAAUACUCUGUGGUAGCUGGACUUGUUGGUUCGGCCUCACUAUCUGGAGCUUUAGAAUCUGCUUUAAGGCUCCUCUCUUCAGAUACAUUCUCUAAUGAGUCAAAUGUUUGCAUUUUAUUUUGCUCUGGAGUCAGAGGUGCACUUGACUCUUUUGUGGGAACUGUGUUAUGAGCAACAUAUGAUGACAAAACUGUGAUGGGUUCAGUCACUGGAAGUACAAAGGUUUCAGGAGAAGCAGAGUGUGUCAUAUAUUUUUUUUCAGGUUGAGAAGUAGUUGGGCUAAAGAAAGAAGUUGUGACCACCUCUUCAGUUUUGGUCAUUUUCUCUAAUACAACUGGAUUGGUAACUAGUGAAGGAGUGAUUUCUCUGUGGUCCUCUUCCUUAGCCUGUAUUCUGACAUUGCUUUUAAGAUCAGGACUUUCAAGUACUGCAGAGAAAGCUUUGGUCACAGCUUCAACUUUAGAUGUUCUUGGAAUAUUAGGCAUCGCCUCUGUAGUUAGAACAACACGGGGGACAGGUUUUGUUCUUUGUCGGAUUCUAUUUGGUCUCAGUCUCCUUCUCCCAUAAGGCCUUUUCCUAGCAUGCUGAGUAACUAGUGAAGGUGCUGUCUUCCUAUAGGGUGUUGAUGUUGUGGCAGCAGUGGUCAAUUUGCUGGUGGAAAUAGCAGUUAUCACCUCUGUUUUUUUGUGAGGAACAUUCGUACUUGGUGAAAUGAAUGUGGGAUCUGUUUUUGAAGCAGACAGGUUUCUCUGUUCUCUCUCCUGAAAGCUCUCUAUGUAAGUGCUGGACAUGCUUUCUUGAGUCACUGUACUCCUGUGGGUCUCUGAUUCCUCCUUGCUCUGGACCUUGAUGGAUAUAACAGCGUGAGAUGUUGUACUUAAAUCUGCUAUUUUUGUCUGAGCAGUGGAUACACCUCUGUGUUCAUGUAUGAAGUCACUGCUUUUUACUGUAACAGAUGAAGAAAUGGCAGUGGCACCUACAGAAUCUGUUGGGAUGAUGUCACCCAGCUGAGAAGGUGCUAAAAUUAUAUUGUCAACACUCAUUUGAUCCAUUUCAUUUAAUCUCUCUUCUGUCUCCAAGACACUAUGAAGAUCUACAGUCUGAGAUUCAGCUAGUACAGAAGCAUCAAGUGGUAGCUCAGCAAAAGCAGAAUUUUCCUCUGACUUAGAAGAUACAGUUGCAUCUACAUGUUCCACUCUGAAUGAACUACUCUGAAUAUUAAGAUAGUUGGUCAUUGUUUCUUCGGUCAAAGGUUCUUCAGUGACAGCAUGAAUAUUUUCUUUGACUACAACUGAAGAAUCAGCCCUGCCAUUCUGAUGCUGCUGGCCUUGGGGCUGCACAGUUGCAAGAAUAGGACCCGAUACAGGGAUUUCUACAGAGUGUACACUUGCAGGUGUUUUUAAAGCUCUUUGGUCAUAGAAGUGUUCAGUUUCUCGUCCUGUUAUUGUGGACCAAGCUGAAAAUGCUUUACUGCUGUGGGAAACAGUGACUGAGAAUGGCUCAUUUUCACUCAGUGUUGAUGCAUCUGCAGAAGAAUCUACUACAUCAGCUGUUGUCUCUGAAUGCAGAGGGAUGGCUACUGUAUGAGGGACAGGAGUAGUUUUCUGCACAUCUGGUGGCAAUGUAGUUGCUAACAAAAUGGCUGUAGCUACAGUUGUUCUAGGAAGGUUCUUCCCACGGACCUUUGCCAAAAUGUCAGCCCAGUGCUGUGGAUUAAUCUGUUUGCUUGCCAUAUUAAUUCUCCUGCGAGAUUCAAACGCUCUCCGGCCUUCUGCAACAUUGCUGUCUUGGGUUCUAUCAGUACCUUUCCAAAUUUUCAUUUUUCUUCUGCCUUUCUUUCCCUUUUUAAUUUGAGCUUCCAGCAUCUGGUCACUUUUCUGUUUAAAGGGUAUCUCCCUGUCCUUCAGGUGGUUCUUUCUUCGUGGGAAUUCAUCAGCCCCUCCUGUGCCUGAUCCCUCUCCAUCAUCUAUGACCCGUCCUCUUGUUUUUGAUGAGCUUUUUGAGCGUGUGCGUUUUUUCAGUUUUAUCCUUUUAAAUGACCUGUCAGACACCAUUUUAUUUACUGUUACUCUUACAAUAAACUGAUCUGAUCCCAGCUGAUUGACAGCCACACAUCUGUAAUGGCCACUGUCACUGAUGUGGCUUUUUGGAAUAAGCAAAGUACCAUUGUCCAACACAUAUCCUUUUGAAAAGUUUGACAAAACAUUAAGUACCUGGCUGCUUGGAAGAAUCCAGCUCAACUGUGCCUCUGGGCUGGCAAUUGCACUACAAGGCAAAACUAUAGGAUCUCCAACAUUUUUUUCAACUCUCACUAUAUCUGAGUCAGCUACCUGAAUAGCAGGAGGCUGCACUAGAAGCCUG